CGAACGGGUGAGUAACGCGUGAGUAACCUGCCCUGGAGUGGGGGACGAACAGUUGGAAACGACUGCUAAUACCGCAUAAGCCCACGGAUCCGCAUGGAUCUGCGGGAAAAGGAUUUAUUUGCUUCAGGAUGGACUCGCGUCCAAUUAGCUAGUUGGUGAGGUAACGGCCCACCAAGGCGACGAUUGGUAGCCGGACUGAGAGGUUGAACGGCCACAUUGGGACUGAGACACGGCCCAGACUCCUACGGGAGGCAGCAUG
rnacentral:rRNA from 1 species